rnacentral:lncRNA from 1 species
CGCCACGGUGGGGCGCGCCGCCGAACCUGCCGUCGCCGAACCUGCCGACGCCGAACCUGCCGACGCCGAACCUGCCGACGCCGAACCUGCCGACGCCGAAUCUGCCGACACCGAACCUGCCGACGCCGAACCUGCCGACGCCGAACCUGCCGACGCCGAACCUGCCGACGCCGAAUCUGCCGACACCGAACCUGCCGACGCCGAACCUGCCGACACCGAACCUGCCGACGCCGAAUCUGCCGACGCCGAACCUGCCGACGCCGAACCUGCCGACGCCGAACCUGCCGACGCCGAACCUGCCGACACCGAACCUGCCGACGCCGAAUCUGCCGACGCCGAAUCUGCCGCCGCCGAACCUGCCGACGCCGAACCUGCCGACACCGAACCUGCCGACGCCGAACCUGCCGACGCCGAACCUGCCGACGCCGAACCUGCCGACGCCGAACCUGCCGACGCCGAACCUGCCGACGCC